rnacentral:rRNA from 1 species
GACGAACGCUGGCGGCGUGCCUAAUACAUGCAAGUCGAACGAGUGGCGGACUGGUGAGUAAUGUCUGGGAAACUGCCUGAUGGAGGGGGAUAACUACUGGAAACGGUCGCUAAUACCGCAUACCAUCAGAUGUGCCCAGAUGGGAUUAGCUAGUUGGUGGGGUAACGGCGCACAAAGGCGACGAUCACUAGCUGGUCUGAGAGGAUGACCAGCACGACUGGAACUGAGACACGGUCCAGACUCCUACGGGAGGCAGCAGUGGGGAAUAUUGCACAAGGGGCGCAAGCCUGAUGCAGCCAUGCCGCGUGGAUGAAGAAGGCCUUCGGGUUGUAAAGUACUUUCAGCGGGGAGGCGUUACCCGCAGAAGAAGCACCGGCUAACUCCGUGCCAGCAGCCGCGGUAAUUC